UAACCCGUUGAACAACUGAACC
rnacentral:miRNA from 1 species